CUUUUACAGAAACUGAUAUGAUUUUAUUUAUAAAAAGCUAGAUAAGUAAGCAAAUUAGUUUUAAAUAAAACAGAACUUGGCUCUGAUUUAAAAGUAUGGCAAAAACUAAAGAAUACACAUGGUUUUUUUAGAAAGAGGCGAGGCAGGAAAAUAGUAUAGUUUUAGUAUACAAUUUAAAUUUAUUUUAUUUCCUGAGGCAUUAUAGAAACACAAGAUGUCUUGAAAAUUCCCGCUAACUCCAGUGUUGAAGGUUAACAAAAAAGUGAAUGCUUGUGUUAGUUUAGUAAAUUAAGUUUGGUUAAUUUGGUGCCAGCAUCCGCGGUUACACCAAAGAACUAAGUCAUAUUAAUAUGGUAAAAAGACAGUUAAGCAGUAAUUUAUAGUUUCUUGAUUAUUUAUAAAAAAGUAAAAUUUGAAUAUAAAUACAAUAAUCUGACAGAAACUUUAUAGCUGAAUCUGUGAUAGCUUUGAGGGAAACUGGGAUUGGAUACCCCAUUAUUCUUAGCUGUAAAUCUAAUUGAAUAGUUUACCAGAGUACUAUGAAUAAAAAAAUUUAAAACUCAAAGGGCUUGGCGGUGUUUUAGACCAUUUAGGGGAACCUGUCUCAUAAUCGACAGUCCGCGUUAAACCUAACCUUCUUUUGCAAUCAGUCUGUAUACCGUCGUCGCCAGGCAACUUCUAAAAAAUUAAAAGUUGGCUAAAGAAUUUGUAUAGAUUAAAACGUCAGAUCAGGGUGCAACUUAUAAGAAGGCGAGGAUGGGUUACAAUUAUUAAAUCAUAAUUAUGGAAAGUUACACGAAUAAAUAACUUGAAAGAGGACUUGAAAGUAAUCUUAAUUAUAUAAGAAUUUUGAAUAGGGCUCUGAAACGUGCACACAUCGCCCGUCGCUCUCGUUGAAAAAUGAGAUAAGUCGUAACAUAGUAGAGGUAAUGGAAAUUGUCUCUAGAUG
rnacentral:rRNA from 1 species